rnacentral:lncRNA from 1 species
ACUCUCACGAGAACAGCAUGUGGGAAACCAGGGAAACUGUCCCCAUGAUCCAGUGACCUCCCACCAGGUCCCUCCCUUGACACAACAGAGAUUACAAUUUGAGAUGAGAUUUGGAUGGAGACACAGAGCCAAACCAUAUUAAGCCUGUUCUGCUGGGACACAGAAUCACUUGCUCCAUCUCAUACAUUGAUGAUGAUUAAUUUGUAUGUGUACCUUCCAAAAAAGAUGGUUGUGUUUGAAUGGAGGCCUUCUGGACAGGAAAAUAAUCACAUCCUUCCUGAGAUAAUGAGCACACAAUUGCCUGGAUACCUGAAGGAAUGGAGACAGCGGCAGAAAACACUGCAGAGAGGUGGAAACAUCCGUUAAUAUUUUAAAAUCCCAUUACUGCUACCAACAAUAAUAAUGGAUGCAUAGAAAUAGAUCUGGAUUAGCUGAGCUUGAAACAGUCCAUCUCACACACACACAAAAGAAUUUCAGAUACAGUGAACCCACAUGUUGAAGCUUUCUAGUAUAAUAAAAAUUUCAACUGUUCUGUUGAAUCAUCUGCCUGAUUGGAGGCUACAGAAAAGAUGUCAUCUUAGGAGUGCUUGCUCUGAGUGAGGCUCAUCUUCAAAUCUGAAUGACCACAAGGAGAUUUGAUUAUACAUGUGAACACCUCAGAAGGCACAGCCCACCCAGAAGGCAGACAGGUCAGGCUGCUUUUUCUUCAUUGCUUGGAUUCAAUCCUCCGGGCGGCUCAGGCUCAAACAUAACUUAAGCAUGAUUAAACUUUAGAAGAAGCUGCCAGGAAGACUGUGAAAUCUUCAUGCCCAAGGAUCCCUAAAAUUAGGAGCAACAACCACUUGGCUCAGACGGUUUAUGGAGGCAAAGGUUUGGAUGGGAUUAGAGAUUUCUAAAUGUGAGUUCGUGUCCUCUGCCAGACCACCUUACUUCCACCAUUCCUCAGCAAAUCAAGAAAAACAGGAGAAAAGACAUGCCUUUCCAUAAGUUAAAUCUAUUCUGUUUUAAUUCUAUAUUAUAUCUGCUGUACAACUUCUUUUGUUUGUAACACCAUAUUGUUGCUAGUAACUGGAAAUUAAUUUUCACAUGCCUCAGCUUAGAAAAAUAAAAAGCAGCCCUGCAUCAAUCCCAA